AGGAGAGGAGAGAAGAGGAGAGGAGGAGGAGAGGAGGAGAGAAGAGGAGAAGAGAGGAGAGGAGAAGCAGAAAGCUCUCUAGGGCUCCUAGUUUAGCACUCUGGUGUCAUUUCUACAUGUGAAGAUGGCAAGUGUCUAAACUGACGACCUCUCGUAUCCCGAGGGUCACUGUGACACGAUGACCUUGUCUCCUCUCCUUAGAGGUCAACACCAUCUAUUGUAGACUGUCAGCGCUUUGUGAAUGGCAUUCUGAUGUUGCGUUGUCUGUAUGUGUGUUGCCUUGUUUGUUUGUUUGUUUGUUUGUGUUUUUCUAUAUGAUGUAUUUUAUUGAAAUGGGGUGGACAGCCAUGUGGGUAUGUUUUCCAGUGAUGUGUAUCAUAAGAGUUUAGAUGACAUUAAAGGCUGAAGACGUUUGUGUCACUUUUUUAGACAGGCCCUUGUAGUGCAGCUUACCUCAGAUGACAAGUGUUGAUCCUUUUGUAGACCAUUUAUAAACCCAUUUAUAAAGCUCAUGUUAGCUAGUGCUAUUCAGAUGAACUAUCUGUGUGUGAGUUCCCUUAGCAACCUCACUGGAGAGUGCUAUAUUCAACACUUGAAGGAUUAUAAAUCCUGCUCCAACACUUAAUGUGAGUCAGUAAGCCAACUCCAAAUGAUUUAUAUAUGUUUUAUAACACAAUAAGGUAAAAUAUCUUCAUUUGACCUCAGACCACAGACUAAACUCACAAACACAACGCCCAUGAUGACCUCCUAGCUCAUCAAGCAUAAGACCUGCAGAUCACCCACUCCAGAUGCUCUAAGAUAUGUUCUGAAUAUGUUCCACAUAUGUUCUGAAUAUGUUCCACAUAUGUUCUGAAUAUGUUCCAUAUAUGUUCUGAAUAUGUUCCAUAUAUGUUCUGAAUAUGUUCUGAAUAUGUUCCAGAUAGGUCCACAGGUGGCUGUGGUGAACCUCUACACCAGAAUCAGUCUGGAUCUGUUUGGUUGGCCAUUUGUUCUUGGGCUCUUCUUGAUUUAGAUCUUAGUCUAGAUUAGCUCAUUUUUAGUCUAGAUUAGCCCAGUUUAGUCUAGAUUAGCCUUAUUUAGUCUAUAUUAGUCCAGUUUAGCCUAUUUUAGUCUAGAUUAGCCCAGUUUAGCCUAAUCUAGCCUAUUUUAGUCUAGAUUAGCCUAUUUUAGCCUAGAUUAGCCCAGUUUAGCCUAGUUCAGCCUCGCCUCCCUCAGUCCAGUCACCACAGAUCCUCAGUCCAGUAAUCUCCACAGAUACUGUAGGCAGGUAUACUCCCUCUAAUCUCCACAGAUACUGUAGGCGGGUAUACUCGCUCUAAUCUCCAGAUGUAGUAGGCGGGUUUCUACUUCAUACUCAGAGCAAAGGAAAGUACAGGUGGGCACAGGAGAGUACAGGUGGGCACAGGUGAGUACAGGAGAGUACAGGUGGGCACAGGAGAGUACAGGUGAGUACAGGACGACUUACUCCAGUCAGCAGUGGUCAUCUGCUUUUGUCAGGAAAGGAAGGGCAGUCUUCUGUGUUGUGUAGUUUCUGUGUCAGAUCCCCCCUCCACACACACACACACACACCUCUCUUAGCUCUACAGCUCCAGUGUGUGUGUGUGUGUGUGUGUGGUCCCUUGCACUCUUUCUUUCUCCUCCUCUCCCUCUCGGAGGACGCCUCUGUGUGUGUGUGUGUGUGAGCAGCUGUGUGCAUACUCUGUCAGGUGUGUUGUCUCUUAUUUAUGACCUUGUCUCGUGUCAUGACUGUGAAUCGCCUGAUAAAGAUCUAUAUCUGCCACUGA